UUUGAAAGUUCCACAGAGGUCUAUAACUGUCUCUCAGAACCUCUGCACCUAGACUUAACCUAACACCAAACCAACUAACCCUAGAUUCAGUACCUUUAAGAUCACCACUGAAAUAAAUGGGCAAGAUACUGUCCCUAAUUCUGGAAACAACAUUAGGAAAAAUAACAUUAUUGAACCACAAACUUCCCAAGAAGAUAUCUUCAAGGUUAUUUAGGCCAACCUCUUCAUUUAAAAGAUAAGAAAACUAUAAAGCAGUGGUCAUAAAAACAAUAUGGUACUGGUUAAGAGACAGAAAGGAGGAUCAGGAAUAGACUUGGGUCAUUUACAGAGAUCCCCCUACCACUACAUUUGUUGGAUCUCCUUUAUAAGAAGGAAGAAGGAAGGAGAAAGUUCUGGAAUGAGACAGUAUUGUUUGGAAAUCUGGGAACUACAAACAGCACCAGGAGGGUUUACCAUUAUUAGAUUUUGUUGCAUUUUCUUAUGGCAAAGUAAAGGUUAAGCAAAACCAGUGACCAUGUCUGACAGUGUAUGUAAUGUUUUGUAGCUGUAAUGCCUAACUCUCUUCAGAAAGGACAGAAAUGAUCUCAUCUUUUUUUAUGAGGCCAAGAUUAGUAAUUAAAAUCACAUCAU
rnacentral:lncRNA from 1 species